UGGGGAAUAUUGCACAAUGGGCGCAAGCCUGAUGCAGCAACGCCGCGUGAACGAUGAAGGUCUUCGGAUCGUAAAGUUCUGUUGCAGGGGAAGAUAAUGACGGUACCCUGUGAGGAAGCCCCGGCUAACUACGUGCCAGCAGCCGCGGUAAUACGUAGGGGGCUAGCGUUAUCCGGAUUUACUGGGCGUAAAGGGUGCGUAGGUGGUCUUUCAAGUCGGUGGUUAAAGGCUACGGCUCAACCGUAGUUAGCCUCCGAAACUGGAAGACUUGAGUGCAGGAGAGGAAAGUGGAAUUACCAGUGUAGCGGUGAAAUGCGUAGAUAUUGGGAGGAACACCAGUAGCGAAGGCGGCUUUCUGGACUGCAACUGACACUGAGGAACGAAAGCGUGGGUAGCAAACAGG
rnacentral:rRNA from 1 species